rnacentral:rRNA from 1 species
GACGAACGCUGGCGGCGUGCUUAACACAUGCAAGUCGAACGGUGAAGCGCCUUCCUUUUUGGUGGGUGUGGAUGAGUGGCGAACGGGUGAGUAACACGUGAGUAACCUGCCCCCUUCUUCUGGAUAACCGCAUGAAAGUGUUGCUAAUACGGGAUAUUCUGGGUCUGUCGCAUGAUGGGUCUGGGAAAGAUAUUGUUUCGGUGGGGGAUGGGCUCGCGGCCUAUCAGCUUGUUGGUGGGGUGAUGGCCUACCAAGGCGGUGACGGGUAGCCGGCCUGGGAGGGUGGACGGGCUGACUGGGACUGAGGCACGGCCCAGACUGCUACGGGAGGCAGCAGUGGGGAAUAUUGCACAAUGGGCGCAAGCCUGAUGCAGCGACGCCGCGUGAGGGAUGGAGGCCUUCGGGUUGUGAACCUCUUUCGCCAGUGAAGCAGGCCUGCCUCGUUUGUGGGUGGGUUGACGGUAGCUGGAGAAGAAGCGCCGGCUAACUACGUG